rnacentral:piRNA from 1 species
CCGGCCAUUCAAGUGGAAGAUUCUCUGGU